CUUGAGCGCCUGUAAAAUACAGGUUUGAUAGAGCUGGCGUGUAAGUGCCAAGGUAACGAGGCAUUCAGCGUGCGGCUACUAAAAGCUCUACAGCCACCUAUG
rnacentral:rRNA from 1 species